UACAGAGGGGGCAAGCGUUGUUCGGAAUUACUGGGCGUAAAGCGCACGCAGGCGGUUCGCCAAGUUUGGAGUGACAGUUGUCGGCUCAACCGACAAAGGACUUCAAAAACUGGUGAACUUGAGGACGAGAGAGGAACAUGGAACUCCAGGUGUAGUAGUGAAAUGCGUAGAUAUCUGGAAGAACACCAAUGGCGAAGGCAAUGUUCUGGCUCGUUUCUGACGCUCAGGUGCGAAAGCCAGGGGAGCGAACGGG
rnacentral:rRNA from 1 species